AUCCAGAAACCUUCCUUCUCAUUUCUUGGAAUGCAGUCAGGUUUCAGCCAUCACUCGAGCGAACAGGGGUUUGAUGCCUCGACCUGGUUAAUGCCGCCGCAGAAACCACUUUGCUUUGUGCUUUUAUGGACAAGCGUUACUGUGACUGUAUUUAAAGCCUUAUACACCUGACUGAGGAAGAAGAGAUAAUCAUUAGGAGACAGUUGUCUAAUAGCAUGCAUCCAAGAAGCUUUGGACGAAGGACUUCCACAGAGCCGCCACCCUCAAAAAGACAAUAGUUCUGUACUGGGUUUGAUUUAGUUUUUGUUGUUUUAAAUAUUUACAUUUUGUAAAUGAACUUUUAAUCUCGUCUUCACAAGAAUGUUUAUGAUUUCAAGUUGUAUUGGAUUUAUUUUUUAUCUGAUAAGACAUUGAAUGCAGUACAUGUUGUUUAGUAUAUUUAGUACAUUAAGUAUGUUUAGUUCUCUGUGAGAAGCAAGUUCAUUUAAAGUUAAAUGUGAUUUGGUUCAUGUAGAUACAACAUGUCAAUGUUGUUAAUACCCAGAAACUUGAUUUUAAUCUGCAUAUUCAUACUGAAUUUGCCACAACUAUUUGCCAGAAGCCUGUUUUUUCGGUAAGGGUAGGGUUUGUUUUGAAUUAUUUAAAUUUCUAUUCCUAUAUUUCCAGUAUAGCUAGGAUGUCUGUCUGAAUAGUGACAAGAUCAGCCUGAAAGUCUGAAUUUGCAUUUGUUGAAUUGUUGGGGAUAAUAUUGAAUUGGGAAUUUAAUUAUUGGAAUUAUCUAACAUUGGAAUUCAAAGGAACUGAAUUACUGUACAUCUGAAUUCAAAGACUGACCUGGAAUUUGAAUUGAAUUAAAUGGAAUUUACAGGGAGAGAGAAUUUAAUUAUAAUUUAAUUAGUGGAAUUGACCCCGACCCUGGUGUUAGGUUUAUCCCUAAACGUCCUUUGCCACCAGUUUAAACAAAUCAUAAAUUCAUCUAAUUUGCAUGUCUGGUUACUGAGGUUAAACAAUUUCCCUCAAGGGUACAACACCAGUACUCCAACCCAGAAUCUCUACUCCUCUCAGUUACAUUCUGAGCCUAAUCUUUGCCCUCCAGUCAAGACCACCCCACUUCUGAUGCAAUAGGGGUUCAAUCUGUCCUCUCAUGGCACUGGCUUGCGAGAUAACUGAUGGCUGAACUGAUGGAGCUCAUUGGAUUGCAUAGGAUUGUGUCUAUCAUGUGUUGGAUAUUAGGGCAGCCUGGCAAGAGGUGAGGGUGCCAGCUGUUGGGUCUUGUGAUCCUGAUUAGAUUGUUGUUUCAGUGUUGAUUGUGUCUAGGAGCAGAGGUGACCUGGGGCUGGGGAGGGAAAAGAUGAUCACCCUUGUGAUCACCCUCCUUUCGCACCCAAACACCUCGCGGAGCUCAACCGUUCGCCAGCUGAUCUUUUGAAGGAUCUCUCUCUCUUUCUGUCUGCAUUGCCUCUCUUUUAACGUCUUGUGUGUCCUUGGUGGUACCUCUCUUUCCCUCUCCUCUCCCCUUUCUGUUUGUAUCUGUCCCUUUUUCUGUCUCUCUCUCGUUUUCUCUUUUUCUCUCUCUCUGCUAUAAGUUAAAGGAGUGAAGGAGUGUUUUAUGCAUCAGUCAUGCUUCAGUACCAGUGAGUGAUUAAAGGAAAGUAUAUGGGCCACAUUGUGAAGUUACAAAGUGGGUGUGAUUCUCCACUUCAACUGCCAGCUUCAAUUCAUUUCUGCAGAGUUGAUUUGGACUGAAAUGACACUUUGUGUGUUGGUUGGUCAGUUUCCAGAAUUGGUUUUGAUUAAGUAAGUACCCAAUGAUGGGGCACAUAGCAAUCUAAUAGUGCUUGUAAUGAAAGUGCAUUUCAAAAGUUAAGGGAUGGCAAAAUGAGUAUGAUGGUGUGUGUGGAGGCUAUAACAUUAAGUGUAACCUAACAAGAAAAUAGUCACAUUGGGUAUAGGAAUAAUAACAAUGUUUGCCUCAGCAUAUUAUGCUGGCGUUGUGAUCUGGUGAGCAGAGGACAAAAUAGGAAAUGUUGAGUUUGUAAAAGAUGUUGUCAAACCUGAUUUUGUUUCCGUCAAAUUGAGUUAGUGAGUGACUAAGCAGAAAAUAUAUAUAUAUUUUUUUUAACUAUAUUUUGGUAUUUUGUUAAUUAGUCCGAUGUUGAAAAACGCAUCAUCAUGUUGUGGCAAAUGACACUUUGCUUCUUGAAAGUCCAAUGUCUUAAACUUGACUACUGACAUGGAAAACAUUUUGUGGGCUAAUAAAAAAAUACCAAAAGAUUGUUUUUUUGUGGAUUUUUCCAUUAACCUUUAGGAUGAGUUGUUGCAAUUUGCUGCCAAAAGCUGCCCAACUGAUCCUUCGCUAAACCCC
rnacentral:lncRNA from 1 species